UGUUAAGUAGACCAAAAAUUGACUGAAAACAGAGUCAAACUUUUCCAGUCGAAAACAGUAAAUAGAAACAUGUCGAUCGCAUCGUUCGUACCUACCUACUUGAUUCUGUUUAAACGGUAAAAUAAGCUUGUUUGACCCAUCUCCCGACCGAAGACUCACUUCACCAUUCAAGGAAAUGAGAAAAAAAAAACAGACUCUAACAAAGUGCUUUGCGAUUUCUUGAAAGGAGCACCAGAUGUGGGAAGGAAUGAGUGAAAGAAGAUGCUACUGUCAAGCAGUCCUGAUAGAUUCAUAACAACAGUUCCUCAUACAUCCAGACAUAUGAAGAGUUAUGAAACAGAUGGCAAGGAUUAUUUUUUGUAUCAAGACAAACUAUGGAGAAUUUUAUCCAGAAGAGGAAAUUCAUAGAAUUUGGAGAAUACAAAGGUUGUCUGUAUGGUACCUCAAAGGACUCUAUAACCAGAGCUCUGAAAUCCAGGAAGACCUGUGUCCUUAAGGUACAACCUGAGGUGAUGUUGCUAUUAUGAACAAUGGAGUUCAAGCCAUACUGUGUCUUUGUGAAGCCUCCUUCUCUGAAGGAACCCCGCACAUCAAGACUGAAAGUACAGACCAAAAAAAAAGAAGGCUUCAGAUAAGUCCUCCAUCAGGACAUUCAGCGAGGAGGAGUUACAAGAAAUAAUCAGUACUUCUAGAAUGCUGGAGGAGACCUAUGGAAGAUUCUUUUACCUGACAGUAGAAAACAAGGACAUUGAAGAAGCCUCUGUCAGCAUUGUAGACACAUUUGAAAAUCUUGAACAGGAAGAGCAGUGGGUCCCUCUGGACUGGACUCAACAAAACUAAAAGGAGAUCUGAUAUCUUAUGUAUAAAGUGUGAGGCUGGUUGUAUCAUGAUGGCUUCACCAGUAUCCACCACACAGUUGACCAUCAAAGAACAUUUCUAGACAAACUCAAUAGAACUUAUAAACUAUUAGUACAAAAUGUGUGAUCCAUCCAUUUUUAUUUUUUCAAAAUGUAGCUGUUAACCUUUUAACUCCCAAAAUCUGAUCAUUCAUUCUCCCCUCUACACAUUUACUUACAUAAGUCACAAGUCAUAAGAAUUAGUGUAAGAUCAAGAUAGGAACUUCUGUGUGAAGAGUUUGUGCAUUCUCGUUAGCUUAGUGAGUUUGUUUUAAUUUUGAUGAGUUACUGGAUAAUAAGUUACACAAUUAAUUUCAGAUAUAGGAGUCAAAGGGUUAAAGGAUUAAAUCAUGCUGUCGCAAGCCUUGUUUUAUUUGCUAGAUAGAACACAUUAUUGGAAAAAAAUGUUUUUUAUCUUGUCACGAGAUUGGGACAUAGGCACUCAUGACAAGACAAAAAACAUCUUUUUUCAUUUCUUUAUGAAGCUUCAAACUUACCAUCUUUCUUAUAUUAUUAUAACACAUUUCCCAUAUUAUUUUUAUAAUAAGUUUCAAGUUCAUAAAAACAUGAGUAGUCAGGGUACAUGUAUUGAUAAAUUAUAAAAGAUGAUAAUUAGAAAAAGGUUAACAAAUGCCAGGCAGUUGGUCAGUGGAGCUAAAAGAAUUAAUUAGGAAUGUCAAGAGGACGGCGAGGCUGGAGAGCCUGAAAUUAUUACCACCUAUAAAUUGAAUCUUGGACUCCACAAAAUGUCCAUUUAAAUUUUGCUUUUCAAAACAUGCUUACCACAUAUUGAGUCAACCAUGUGAAACAAAGUACAUGUAAAGCGUUGAAGUGAGCUUUUUAAAUGCCAUACCAGAAGCUGGUACUGUACAAUAAACCAUGAGCAGCCCUUCCUUUUCCCCAGAGUAUGUUGCCAGUGUAAAAGAAAAAAGUUAAAAAACCAAGUUGCAAUUCUUGCCUGUUAAAUUUUCUCACUUUUUUUAUUUAAUUCCAAUUGUUUCCCCUCCCCUUGAAGUAAUGUAAUGCUGAGCUUGACUUCAUCUGUAGCUGUGUUAAUGAUUUUUUUUCUUCAGCAGAAUGUCAUUUUGCAGUGAAGGGUCAGGGGUAAUUCAUAGGGUAAAUUUUAUACUUUAUUGCCAUUUUCAUUUUGAAUCAAGAGUCUACAAGUUAUGGAAAAAAAUUUAAAACCCUCAACACCCCAACAUCAGUAUGUAUAUUCUCUAUACUGUUCUCUACACAUUUCCUAAAGAGCUGACAGGGAGGAUUUGUUUAACAAUCGAGAACUGCUUUGGUUAGUGAUCAUUUCCUUUAUUUGGGGGAAUAAUGUACGGAGAAAUUAGAUGCUAAUCACUUUUAAGUGUCAGUUAAAGGGGUUGAUAUGUUAUUAAAUGGACUGUUUCAUUGUGUACCAGAAUCAAGUUUGAGUCUCAGUUGUAAUUAAAAGAUUUGAGUAAACUUCAUCUAGGUUUAGGAUAUGAUUUAAUUGUUCAUAUAUUCACGUACAUCAUACAUUCAACUUACAAUAAAUACAUGGCAAAUAAAAGUAUUGAUUCCUUAGCUCACACAUAAACCAGUUAAAUUGUUUUCAAUUAAUACUUUAACUCCAAGACCUGAUUGUUAAUUCAUUUCUCUAGCUGCUUAACAUUUCUUAGUGAACUAGUUACAAAAAUUUUGUGUUAGAUCAGGACAACAGCUUCUUGAUAAGGUUAGGUGUUCUCAUUACCUGUUUGCUGGAUAAUGUGGAGAUAUUAUUGGGAGAAGUGACAUGUUAAUCACUUCUAGCAGUAAAAGGGUUAAAAAAUCUCUUUUUUAAUAGUAUUGCAUGGUGUUCAUAAUUUCAAUUUCAUUUAAAAAAAUUACAUUAUUUUUUAAUUAAUAACUAUGACCUGAUGAAUUAUUAUAUCUACAGAAACAGACAAUUCAUCUUCCAUUAUCAUGUGUCCUCAAAUAAGAUUUAAACUUUUGCUUAGAGGAGGUGCUCAUUGGACGGAGGGUACUUAAUUG